AGUUGGGGUCGGGUGACCCUACCAUCCCCCUUAUUUAAUUCACAGCAAAGUCCCUACGGCAAAGCUUUUGUCCACACUAGGUACACUCGAUAGGCACUUGCCUAAGGUUGCCUGGACCCAAAUACCCAGGUGGGUAAAGUUACGGAACUUUUUCUUUUGAGGUCCAAAGUUGGGGUCGGGUGAUCCUACCAUCCCCCUUAUUUAAUUCACAGCAAAGUCCCUACGGCAAAGCUUUUGUCCACACUAGGUACACUCGAUAGGCACUUGCCUAAGGUUGCCUGGACCCAAAUACCCAGGUGGGUAAAGUUACGGAACUUUUUUUUUUGAGGUCCAA
rnacentral:lncRNA from 1 species